GUUUGUUUUGUGAUGCAAUUCAGUUCAUGCUCUAUUGUUAAAUUUUCAGUAUUUGAUCAUUUUCGAUCAGAUGAUGAUUGUUUUUUGGUUUGUGAGUACUAAAUGUGUUUAUUUGUUUUGCACCGAAAUGGUUGGUGUUGGUCUUGAAAACACUCUCCUGGACUUAAAGUUUGAUGUGCCCCUUCGUUUCUAUGGUAUAUUUUCUAGUUUGUAAAUUACUGCAAAUUGUAUCUUUCUAUUAUUGAUUAUGGGGUCUUACAUUUAUUUGUUUUAGAAACAAAAUUAUAUUUCUUUGUAAUACAUUGUAACUGUUAUAAUCUUGAU
rnacentral:lncRNA from 1 species